GACUCGGGCAGUGAUAACGCACAGCUGGUUGAUCACAACUGGUCAGAAGUAAGAGAGAAGGCUCCUCCACAUCCGACCUCAGCCAUCUCCCGAGUCCCCGCUUCCUCCGGGCCAACCAGCUGCACCGGACUGUUGCAAACCAAAAGUCAUCAGGAAAUUCCCUGGAUAUGGUAACUCGUGACUGCAAACUCUAAUUAAUCAUCAACGCUGUAAUACGAUCCUGGCUCCACGAUAAGAGGACCUGCCGAAUAUCUUUGAGAAACCUGUCCCCUGGCCUUCUUCAGACUCAGGGACCCACACCUGAGGAGCCCAGGCGGAUGGGGUCCCAGAUCUGCCCUCAGGCUGGAUGAGAGAAGUCACCCUCACUGGGGGGUGAGGCCGGUUCUCUGUGGCAAAGUCAGAAAUUCAGACGGGAAUACUCAGUCGCCGCCCCCUUCCCAACCAGCCUCUACCCCCGCCCACUGCAGAAUUAGAGCCGACCACAAACAGCAUGCCAGCCCAUCUCCUCUCAGCCUGUUUCUAGAUACAGACGGGCUAUACAUGUGUAAACAUGUGAGUGAUACACGUAUAAAUGUAUGUGUCAAGCAAAAGCAGGGUCAUCUGUUGACUGUUCUGAAACCUGUUCUCUUUUGUUAAUGGCAAUAACAACCACCACCAGGUAUCCAGAACUGGUACUGUCAACAGUUCCCUUAAUUUUCACAACAUCCCUAAGGGAGGGAGGGGUUCCCUGGUGGCUUAAGUGCUAAAGAAUCUGCCUGUAAUGCAGGAAACCANNNNNNNNNNNNNNNNNNNNNNNNNNNNNNUCGCAACCCAACUCCAGUGUUCUUGCCUGGAAAAUUCCAUGAACAGAGGCGCCCGGCAGGCUGCAGUCCAUAGCUCUCAGAGAGUCGGACAGGACUCUGACUCAGCAGCAGCAAGGGAGGGAAACUGAGCCUUGGCAAGAGUCAGGAGAGAACUGUGAUCCCAGACAGGCAAAGCGGGUUCCCUACUGGUUCUAAGAAGGUCUCUGGAGCGGGGAUGGGGGGAGAGCAGGGACAGUGGCCCCAGGGACAUGGGUUGGUAGAAAUGCCCCCUUCCCCUGGUGGGGAGGGCUCCAGGCAGCCAGGCAGCCCAGCCGG
rnacentral:lncRNA from 1 species